rnacentral:tRNA from 1 species
GUUUUAGUAGUAUAGUAAUACAUUACUUUUUCAAGGUAAAGACGGAUACCCCUAAAAUA